UACGGAGGGUGCAAGCGUUAUCCGGAUUUACUGGGUUUAAAGGGUGUGUAGGCGGACUUUUAAGUCAGCGGUGAAAUCUCGGGGCUUAACUCCGAAACUGCAUUCGAUACUGCGGUGCUUGAGGACUGGAGAGGAGACUGGAAUUCAUGGUGUAGCAGUGAAAUGCGUAGAGAUCAUGAGGAAGACCAGUGGCGAAGGCGGGUCUCUGGACAGUUCCUGACACUGAGACACGAAGGCCAGGGGAGCAAACGGG
rnacentral:rRNA from 1 species